GGCGAACGCUGGCGGCGUGCCUAAUACAUGCAAGUAGAACGCUGAGGUUUGGUGUUUACACUAGACUGAUGAGUUGCGAACGGGUGAGUAACGCGUAGGUAACCUGCCUCAUAGCGGGGGAUAACUAUUGGAAACGAUAGCUAAUACCGCAUAAGAGUAAUUAACACAUGUUAGUUAUUUAAAAGGAGCAAUUGCUUCACUGUGAGAUGGACCUGCGUUGUAUUAGCUAGUUGGUGAGGUAAAGGCUCACCAAGGCGACGAUACAUAGCCGACCUGAGAGGGUGAUCGACCACACUGGGACUGAGACACGGCCCAGACUCCUACGGGAGGCAGCAGUAGGGAAUCUUCGGCAAUGGACAGAAGUCUGACCGAGCAACGCCGCGUGAGUGAAGAAGGUUUUCGGAUCGUAAAGCUCUGUUGUUAGAGAAGAACGUUGGUAGGAGUGGAAAAUCUACCAAGUGACGGUAACUAACCAGAAAGGGACGGCUAACUACGUGCCAGCAGCCGCGGUAAUACGUAGGUCCCGAGCGU
rnacentral:rRNA from 1 species